rnacentral:misc_RNA from 1 species
CGCACAUUGCGCCCAUUAGUAUUCUAGUGGGCAUGCCUAUUCGAGCGUCAUUUCAACCCUUAAGCCUCUGUUGCUUAGCGUUGGGAGUCUGGGCCCCCUAGGGUGCUCCAGUUCCUGAAAAUUAGUGGCGGUGUUAGGGCACACGACUAAGCGUAGUAACUAAACUUUCUCGCUUCUGUGGUGUCCCUGACGGCCAGCCGUUAAAACCCUCUAUAAUUCUAAUGGUUGACCUCGGAUUAGGUAGGAAUACCCGCUGAACUUAA